UGCGGUAAUUUGACCGUGCAAAGGUAGCAUAAUCAGUAGUCUUUUAAUUGAAGGCUUGAAUGAACGGUUGGAUGAGGGAAAAACUGUCUCUCCUAUAAAUUGAAACUUGACCUUUAAGUGAAAAGGCUUAAAUUAACUAAGGGGACGAUAAGACCCUAUAAAACUUAAUAUAAAUUAUAUUUUGUUCUUAAAUUAUAAAUAAUCAUAAUAAAAUCUAGUUUAUAUUUUGUUGGGGAGAUAUUGAUAUAAAUUGUAACUGUCUAAUCUAAAAAACAUAAUUAUUAUUAUAAUGUGAUCCUUCACUGAGGAUAAAAAGAAUAAGUUACUUUAGGGAUAACAGCGUAAUUUUUUCUGAGAGUUCUUAUCGAAGAAAAUAGUUGCGACCUCGAUGUUGAAUUAA
rnacentral:rRNA from 1 species